AAAUUGAAGAGUUUGAUCAUGGCUCAGAUUGAACGCUGGCGGCAGGCCUAACACAUGCAAGUCGAGCGGAAACGAGUUAUCUGAACCUUCGGGGAACGAUAACGGCGUCGAGCGGCGGACGGGUGAGUAAUGCCUAGGAAAUUGCCCUGAUGUGGGGGAUAACCAUUGGAAACGAUGGCUAAUACCGCAUGAUGCCUACGGGCCAAAGA
rnacentral:rRNA from 1 species